rnacentral:rRNA from 1 species
AUUGAACGCUGGCGGCAGGCCUAACACAUGCAAGUCGAGCGGAUGAGUGGAGCUUGCUCCAUGAUUCAGCGGCGGACGGGUGAGUAAUGCCUAGGAAUCUGCCUGGUAGUGGGGGACAACGUUUCGAAAGGAACGCUAAUACCGCAUACGUCCUACGGGAGAAAGUGGGGGAUCUUCGGACCUCACGCUAUCAGAUGAGCCUAGGUCGGAUUAGCUAGUUGGUGAGGUAAAGGCUCACCAAGGCGACGAUCCGUAACUGGUCUGAGAGGAUGACCAGUCACACUGGAACUGAGACACGGUCCAGACUCCUACGGGAGGCAGCAGUGGGGAAUAUUGGACAAUGGGCGAAAGCCUGAUCCAGCCAUGCCGCGUGUGUGAAGAAGGUCUUCGGAUUGUAAAGCACUUUAAGUUGGGAGGAAGGGCAGUAAGUUAAUACCUUGCUGUUUUGACGUUACCAACAGAAUAAGCACCGGCUAACUUCGUG